ensembl:lncRNA
GGGAAACACUCCAACACUCCAACACUCAGACAUCAUUUACAGAUAGCUAGGGGUACACUCCAACACUCAGACAUCAUUUACAAACACAGUAUUUGUGUUUAGUGAGUCCUCCAGAUCAGCGGCAGUAGGCAUGACAACGCGUUAUAUUGAUAGGUGUGUGAAUUGGACCAUUCUGCCUGAGCAAUCGAAAUGUAAGCAGUACUUUUGGGUUUCGGUGAAAAUGUAUGGGAGUACAAAGUACAUAUUUUCUUUAGGAAUGUAGUGAAGUAAAAGUAAAAAAAUUGUCACAAAUAUAAAUAGUAUAGUAAAGUACAGAUACCGCAAAAAAACGACUUAAGUAGAAGUAUUUUUACUUAAGUACUUUCCACCACUGAGUAGUAGACACAAUCAUUUGAUUUUCCAUGUUCAGGAAGUGUUUUACUCAUUUCAAAUCAACUUGAAACAACACAUUUAGUGUCUGUUUGGCUCCCAGACCACAUCUGAGGUCAUGGAAGAAGAAUUCAUGAAUUACCCAGUACUUUAUCAGACUAAAAACAAACAAUAAUAAUGACUUUGGGAUAAUAAAGCUUGAUUUAAACAGGCACUGUGUUGUAAUAUUUAUUUAAUAUCUCUGUGUAAUGUGUGGACUGGCUUCUGUAUUUAUCUAGUAGAGUGAAAUUGCUCCCGAGUGGCUCAACAGUCUAAGGCACUGCAACUCACUACUAGAGGCAUCAAUUACAGACCCUGGUUCGAUCCCGGGCUGCAUCAUAACUGGCUGUGAUCGGGAGUUCUGUGUUUCUACCUGGUUCUCAUGCUGAUGGAGUUUUUAAAAGGACACACAGAGAGAGAGAGAAAGAGAGAUAUGCAUAAUUGGUCCAGCGUUGUCCGGGUUAGGGGAGGGUUUGGCCGUGGUGGGCCGUCAUUGUAAAAUAAGAAUUUGUUCUUAAUUAACAAACUUGCCUAAUUUAAAAAAAGUUUAAAUGAACAAAUAGAGUUAGUUUGGGAAACGUAGGCAUUACAUAUUUCACCUUGUAUUUGACUUUGGCCCUAGGAAGUAAUUACUGUCAUUUAGACAUGAUUGCAAUUAUUCAACAAAUCUCUCUUUCUCUCUUUCAGCAUGAGAACCAGGUAGAAACAGGUAUAUGUGCACACACAGCCUCUCAGACCCAGCCCAACUCAGUGUUCAGCAAGCUUAGUGAUGUGCCUUACAUGGUGUGCCAGAAGAGGCUGUCUCUGGGUGGAUCAAACACAGACCUCUCUCUCUUUGGCAGGUACAAAACCGCCAAGUCUCUGUCAGGUCUCUAGUAAUAACUGACCAGGUCUCUAGUAUUAACUAACCAGGUCUCUGUCAGGUCCCUAGUAAUAUCUGACUAGGUCUGUCAGGUCUCUAGUAAUAACUGACCAGGUCUCUAGUAAUAACUGACCAGGUCUCUGUCAGGUCCCUAGUAAUAUCUGACUAGGUCUGUCAGGUCUCUAGUAAUAAUUGACCCUGUCUGUCAGGUCUCUAGUAAUAACUGACCAAGUCUCUGUCAGGUCUCUAGUAAUAACUGACCAAGUCUCUGUCAGGUCCCUAGUAUUAUCUGACUAGGCCUGUCAGGUCCCUAGUAAUAUCUGACCAGGUCUGUCAGGUCUCUAGUAAUAUCUGACCAGGUCUGUCAGGUCUCUAGUAAUAACUGACCAGGUCUGUCAGGUCUCUAGUAAUAACUAACCAGGUCUCUGUCAGGUCUCUAGUAAUGACUGACCAGGUCUCUGUCAUGUCCCUAGUAAUAUCUGACCAGGUCUGUCAGGUCUCUAGUAAUAUCUGACCAGGUCUGUCAGGUCUCUAGUAAUAACUGACCAGGUCUGUCAGGUCUCUAGUAAUAACUAACCAGGUCUCUGUCAGGUCUCUAGUAAUAACUGACCAGGUCUGUUGGGUCUCUAGUAAUAACUGACCUGGUCUCUCAGGUCUCUAGUAAUAACUGACCAGGUCUCUAGUAAUAACUGACCAGGUCUCUGUCAGGUCUCUAGUAAUAACUGACCAGGUCUCUGUCAGGUCCCUAGUAAUAACUGACCAGGUCUGUCAGGUCUCUAGUAAUAACUGACCAGGUCUCUGUCAGGUCUCUAGUAAUAACUGACCAGGUCUCUGUCAGGUCUCUAAUAAUAACUGACCAGGUCUGUCAGGUCCCUAGUAAUAUCUGACCUCCCUAUUUCUUCUACAGUCCAGCUUUAUUUUCCCUACUACCUCAAACAUCUAUCUGCCAGCAGCAGCACAGCUGUUCAAAUACUGUAGGUUAAAAAACACAACUCAAGGCUGCCUCCAAAAUGGCACCUUAUUCCCCAUUUUCCUAUGUACCCUGUCCAAAAGUACUGCACUAUUUAUACUAUACUGAACAGAAUUGUACGUCCAAAAUGUAAAGUGUUGGUCACAUGUUUCAUAAAAGAUCACAGAAAUGUUCCAUAUGCCCCAAAAAAUUAUUUCUCAAAAAUGUUGUGCACAAAUUAUUUUUCCAUCCCUGUCAUUGAGCUUUUCUCCGUUACCAUGGUAAUCCAUACAGCUGACAGGUGUGUCAUAUCAAGAAGCUGAUUAAACAGCAUGAGGUGCACAGGUGCACCUUGUGCUGGGGACAAUAAAAGGCCACUAAAAUAUACAGUUUUGUCACAUAAUUCAAUGCCACAGAUGUUUUUGAAGGAGAGUGCAAUUGGCAUGCUGACUGCAGGAAAUGUCCACCAGAGCUGUUGCCAGAGACUUUAAUGUUAAUUUCUCUACCAUAAGCCGACUCCAAAGUCAUUUUAGAGAAUUUGGCAGUACGUCCAACCGGCAGACCACAUGUAACUUGGAAACCAUGGCUCCCGAGUGGCGCAGUGGUCUAAGGCACUGCGCCAUAAGGAUUCAUAUAUCCUUAUGUACAUAUUCUUUAUCCCCUUACACUGUGUAUAAGACAGUAGUUUUUUGGAAUUGUUAGUUAGAUUACUUGUUCGUUAUUACUGCAUUGUCGGAACUAGAAGCACAAGCAUUUCGCUACACUCGCAUUAACAUCUGCUAACCAUGUGUAUGUGACAAAUAAAAUUUGAUUUGAUUUGAUUUGAUUAGAGGCGUCACGACAGACACCCUGGUUCGAUUCCAGGCGGUAUCACAAUUGGCUGUGAUUGGGAGUCCCAUAGGGUGACGCACAAUUGGCCCCGCGUCGUCCAGGUUUGGCCGGUGUCAUUGUAAAUAAGAAUUUGAUCAUAACUGACUUGACUAGUUAAAUAAAGGUUACAUUUAAAAAAGUUAAACAAAUAAGUACACGCUGGCCCAGAACAUUGACAUCUGGCUUCUUCACCUGAGGGAUCGUCUGAGACCAGCCAUCCUGGGUACCCUAUUCUGCACCGGGGCAUUAUCUGAGCAGACACCUGUCUACUGUAAUAUACCUGGUCACCCUAUUCUGCACCGGGGCAUUAUCUGAGCAGACACCUGUCUACUGUAAUAUACCUGGUCACCCUAUUCUGCAC